CAACCCUUGCAACAGCAUCUCGUUCUACCGUCACUUUUUACUGCCCGACGUCAAUUACCCCUGCGGGUAGGGGGAAGAAUAUUCCCGUUGUAAGCCAUGGUUGGCGUAAGAGCCUCAGUAUAUACAGUAAUAAACCUUUGCAUUGUUUACAUACAUAUACUCAACUCUAGAAAAAGUUGUGUAACAUAUUUUUUGCUACUUUCAUGUUUUUAAACACGCUUCAAGUAUUUCUACAUUUUUGCAUGCAAUACAAUCCUGGGUGGUAAUUUGUAAUUUAACAUAUACAAAUUGACAAAUCGUGAGCCGUUAUAUGAAAACAUCAAUUGGAAAUUGAGUUUGAAUAGAACACAUAUAUUAUAAUUGAUAUUAGUGUUGUUGCUGAAAUAAAGCAAGAUUGAUUAGAAAAAUGCCGAAAUAUUGUGCGUGUGGAUGUGCGCGAGCUGAAUCCUUUUACAAAUUCCCAUCGGAACGAGCAUUAGCAUCUAUAUUGGUAUCUUAGAAAUCUUUAUUAAUUACUAAAUUGUUUUGUGCGACGUUUUUGUUUAUAUAAUUUCUAUUUAAAUUUUUAUGUAAAUUUUUAUUUAUACUUAUUUUAUUAUACACCUAAAAAGUCGGUAACGCGCCUUAUUGCAAACCUUAGGGCGGUUUGGAAAAUGCAAAAC